AAUACUCCUCAACUGUCAUGGGACUCCAGCAAUCCAAUUGUCUUCUUCUCCAGUCGAAAGCCUGGACCGCUAACCCGGGCGAAGAUUUUAGCUGCUGUAAGAGCUCAACAACUGCAGAACCAUCUGCAUACCUACUAAACAACGAAACCCCUUUAUCUGCUAAUAUUUUCUCAAACAUUUCAGCAUCACCACUGUAUGCUAACAA
rnacentral:misc_RNA from 1 species